GCUACAGCGAGGCAAGGGGGGGCGGGAAUACGUAGGAUGGGGUCGGUGUCCGGAAUGACUGGGCGUGAAGAGCUUGGAGGCGGUGCGUCGCGUGUGUGGUGAAAACUUGCAGCUCAACUGCAAGCGUGCAGUCGAUACGGGCGGAAUAGAGUACUUCAGGGGAGACUGGAAUUCCUGGUGUAGCGGUGAAAUGCGCAGAUAUCAGGAGGAACACCGGUGGCGAAGGCGGGUCUCUGGGAAGUAACUGACGCUGAGAAGCGAAAGCGUGGGUAGCGAACAGGAUUAGAUACCCGGGUAGUC
rnacentral:rRNA from 1 species